GGCUGUGUCUGCAGCCUCUGCAGAAAAACACUUUAUCUGUGAAGGUUCCAUCUUGCAAUUAACAAAUGAUGAAGUAUUAAUUCACCCACAGCUGUAUGCAGAGAGUAGAUCUCUCCUUCGUUCUACUUUUUUGGCAAUCAAUUUGCCAAGAGAAGCGACUUGAGAGCAUCCUGCAAGUCACUUCUGAUGUGAGAGAAUUGACCGUCUACAGAGAUGUUGCCCAAGGGACACCCGGAUACAUUACCAUCUUGUUGGGAGGCUUCUCUCACGUCCCUGCAAGCUAGAGCUGGCAGAUGGGAGCUCACCCCAUCUCACAGAUUUGAAUCAGCAACCUUCAGGUAAGCAAGCCAGCCUUCAGGUCAGCAGUUCAGCCGACACAAGGAUUUAACCCAUUG
rnacentral:lncRNA from 11 species